rnacentral:rRNA from 1 species
UACAGAGGGUGCGAGCGUUGUCCGGAAUCACUGGGCGUAAAGGGCGCGUAGGUGGCGCUGCAAGUCGGUGGUGAAAGCUCGUCGCUUAACGACGAGUCGGCCAUCGAAACUGCAGGGCUGGAGCACUGUAGGGGCUAAUGGAAUUCCUGGUGUAGCGGUGAAAUGCGCAGAUAUCAGGAGGAACACCGGUGGCGAAGGCGGGUCUCUGGGCCGAUACUGACGCUGAGGAGCGAAAGCGUGGGGAGCGAACAGG